rnacentral:misc_RNA from 1 species
CCACUGAAUCAUAGCCAGAGACAUAAUCAAUACCAUCAACCAAGGGAAACUUUGGUGAAGGUUUGAAUUAGCUGCAAAAGAAAGAUGCAACACAAGAAUGUUAAAUGCAAGAAUGCUAAAGCGAAAGGAAUGCUAAACGAUAUUCCAAGCAUUAAGCAUCCAUUCCAACCCAACCUUUUAAACCAAGCAUCAAAAACUAUGUCAGGAAAUAAAAUAUAUAUGUAACUUCACAUUAAACAAGCAUCAUAUCAAUUUCAGGUAUUGCGAAUUGAAAGCUAAAAAGGGUUAUGCAUAUGGAGCUCUUACAUUCUUUCAAGCAAGGAAAGGCAGUGAUAUUGAGAAUGUUACAAUAACCCUCUCUACAUUCGCAAGUGCAAGUGAAUGUAGAUGUCUUGUUCCAGGAAUCACCUCCACAAUCGUAUCUUCAAUCGAUGACAAGAAUUGGUGAUUUUAUGGACAAAAUCAAGUUGGGAAUCAUGAAUGGAUGAAAUUUGAGAUGAUCAUCAUGGUCCGAGCGAGUCUACUUCCAUCCAGGAUCACUUUCACAUUCAUAAAACAAAGUGCUGUUAUGGGAUGGCUUGCAGGUUCCCUUUCCACAUUCAACUGUUUUGCACACAUCAUCAAGAACAGGAGAUAAAAAGUCACUCCUUGCGAUCAUAGGUUGCAAAAGAAGAAGGGUUGCAAGAGAAUAAGCAACGGUACAAACAUAAGCCAUCUCUGGAACAAACAUAAAGAGAGAGAGAGAGAUACGAGAGUCAGAUAAAACUAGCCGAGGAUAGAGAUUUUGCAGUUAAAUAGGAUAAAAAGAAUCCACCAUCAGACACUAAAAUAUAAUUAACCACACAGAAAUGAUAGUGGAAAACAGUGGUGAUAACUGGACUUCAUUACAUAGCAAUACUGUUCAUAUAUUACAAAUAAAUGCACUGUGAUAAUUAGAGAGAGUAUGGUCAAUCAAUUAUUUCUUUAAAUUUUUCUAGAGAGAAAUUACAUUAAGAAGAAGAGGAGGAAAUCACAACAUAGAGGAUAAAUAUCCUCUAAAGGUAAGUAACAAAUGUAUGUAAACGCUAAAGAAAAGAAACUAAUAAUACAACUCCUUCCAGUCAUAUUGAAAAAGAUUCAAGAACAAUUACAUUGAAAGCCAACCAAAAAAAAAAAAAAGGAUUCAAUGAUUGAAUAAACAAACUUGAUUCUCAAGAAAAUAGGUUGAUAAAUAUGCUCAAGUACAUUCUUGAUCUUUAUAUUAUCAGCACAUAAAGUGAAGAAAGGGGAAAAUUGAAACCUUCUUUUUCUUUUUCACAAAAUGAAGAACCCAACACAAUCAAUUUAAUGCCUUGUUAGCUUCAUAAGUGAGCAAAAGAGAUGGAACAUUAAAAAAAUUUUCCCAACAUAAAUAUAUGUUAAUAAGUUAAGGGCAUUAUUAAAUUUUAUAGCAUAAUUUUCUAGCAAGUUAGUGAAAAUGAGAGAACUAAACACCAAAACAUACAACUUCCCAUUAAAUAACUUCAGAAGAAAUACCUAAAUUACUUCCUAGAAAGUGAACUCAUUCGAACCAAAUAAAACCUUAGAAUUAUGCUCACCCAUUUGACCUAUAUAUAUAUAUAUAUA